UUUAAUACAGUUUGUACUAAAGGCCAUGAUGAAAAAAGCCUUGAAGAUGACAGAAAUAUGGUCGUAGAGGAGAUGAAGAAAAAACAACCAAAUGGGUCUCUCAUCUCAAAAUUAAUGGAUCUAACAUUCCCAUUGCGCUGACAAGAGAGUGAGAAACAAGGCUGCUGUCCAAGACAUGGCUGAACGUUGGCCAGCACUUUUCAUGGAGAGACAGGUAUUUGCUGAGUUUAACAGAAUUGCCAGCAAGAAUCUUGAAGGAGAUUUCUUUGAGGCUCUGGACCAAUACACACCAAGCUUCAUCCAACUGUUCAGUUGCAAAAAAGGAACUGUUGUAAAGAAACUGACAGAACUGAAGCAGCAAAUUGACUUGAUGUCCUUAGGUGUGGAAACCCUGGAAGAUCUAAAAUAUGUCCAGGAGCCAGAUCUUGUUAACGUCCUGAGGCCAAGCUAGAAAAUUAUUGGACGUAUUAAUGCUUUAUGUGAGAAAGAUGCAGAUGAGAUUCCUGAUCGACUUACCAGAGCUCAGCCGAAUCUAACACUAUGCAGAGAGCCUUCAUCUACAAUGCAGAUAAUUCCAACUCUCCGCCAUCUACAAGUUCAAGUGAAAUCUCAAACCCUCAUAGACCCUCUCCAGUGGACACCAACUGGCACUUCAAUUUUGAGAUACCCUGGAGUAAAAUGCAAUCAGAAAUUACCAGAAAGCUAAAAAACAAGGAGCGACCAACAAGGCAUGAAAGACGUGAACUGAUUCGGCUGAUGGUAGCUGAGAUCCUGACCAUCUGCCCUUCACCAGGGAAGAAACAUCUUAGUGAAAUUGCCAGGAAGAUUAUUUCAACAUAUCCUCAGUCAUACCGAGAUAUCAUUGAAGAUCAAGUUAUAGGUAGUGGUUAUGACUCCCUCACCAAGCAGCUGCAGAGUAGAGUUGACAACAUGAGAAGGGGGAAAAACUCUCUUUUCCUGAAAAGACAGACAUCCAGCACAAGUGAGGGAGAAGACCCACCUUCCAAGAUAAGAGUGGAUACGUAUGACUGUAUAAACUGGCAACCAAAGUGCUUGCCACUUAAUGAAACGGAAGAGACUCAGAAAUGUACACAAGAGGAAUUAAAGAACAUGCACAAAAACAAAAGCAAGAACACAAAGUAUUGAAAAAAAUGGUGGCAACUUUCUACACUCAGAGAAGCAACAUCAUAAGUGGAAUGGAGACCCCUGUUCUGGUGAAAGAGUGACCAUAUCUGUUCGAGAUGUGUGGGAUAAUGGUUCACUUCAAAGAGUAAAUGGGUAUGGAUGUUGACAGAGAAGCCAUUUCAAGUAAAUGUAAAAGAGUCAUUUCAUAUCUCAUCUCCAAUGAGAAGAAGAGCAAAAUUGAGGACAUCUUAUCAGGCAUGGAAAUUGCUAAAGCAAAGGAUCUAGAUGCUGAUCUUCCUGGAUGUGUGUUGCUACUUCUGAAAUACUUCAAUGAAGUACAGGCCAAGACGUUCCAGUUGGUUGAUGAGGCAAGUCUUCCAUCUGAAGUUGAUCAACUACCCAGCACACCUUGCAUUGUUGGAGUUCUCCUCUGACAGCCGGACUCUUUAUGAUUGCUGUGGACCAGAUCAUUGUGAAAGAUGAUAUCACAAAUUGUGAUGAGGGCCUUAAUGAUGUUUGUGAUGUACUACUGCCUCAACAUCAGCUAUACAGCGGAACUUGGUGCAACUCUGGAGUUCAUGCAGAGGUGCCUUUUCGAGAUAAAUCCAGAUAAGGGGACCAAGGUGGAGAAGAGAGUCUAAAAAACAGCAGUCUGUUAAUCCCAAGGUUCUUCCAUUGAUUACAAACAUUGCUAACUUUGAAUGGAGAGAGUAGAAAGCUUCUUGUAUUGCCAGCAUCUUCACUUCAAUUUGUAUUGCCAGCAUCUUCCACUGCAUUUCAAUUUUCUUAUUAUAUUCUUUAUUGUUAAACUGUUCAUUCUGCAGUUAUUUCUUUGGUGGGUGAGUGAGGGGUGGAAAAAUGAUUGAGCAGUGGAUCCUGAAUAGUAUUUUAAUAUUUCAGUUAAAUAAUGUUUAGUUUAGUUAGUAAUGUAGGCUUUGUGAUACAUGUGUAGGAAUAAAAAAAAUUAAUAAUUAAUACCGUAAAAACUGAUUAAUGGUUAAAAAUUGGUUGUUGUUUAACAUUGAUGCUAAGAUGUUGUUAAUGUUGUCAUAAUAUUUGCAAAUAACAAACAAUAAAACCCAAA